rnacentral:rRNA from 1 species
AUUGAACGCUGGCGGCAGGCUUAACACAUGCAAGUCGAGCGAGCGGCGGACGGGUGAGUAAUGUCUGGGAAACUGCCUGAUGGAGGGGGAUAACUACUGGAAACGGUAGCUAAUACCGCAUACCAUCAGAUGUGCCCAGAUGGGAUUAGCUAGUAGGUGGGGUAAAGGCUAACCUAGGCGACGAUCCCUAGCUGGUCUGAGAGGAUGACCAGCCACACUGGAACUGAGACACGGUCCAGACUCCUACGGGAGGCAGCAGUGGGGAAUAUUGCACAAUGGGCGCAAGCCUGAUGGAGCAAUGCCGCGUGAGUGAAGAAGGCCUUCGGGUUGUAAAGUACUUUCGGCGGGGAGGCGGUACCCAAAAAGGAAGCACCGGCUAACUCCGUGCCAGCAGCCGCGGUAAUAC